CCUACGGGUGGCAGCAGUGGGGAAUAUUGCACAAUGGGCGAAAGCCUGAUGCAGCAACGCCGCGUGAAGGAAGACGGUUUUCGGAUUGUAAACUUCUGUUUUUAGUGAAGAAUAAUGACGGUAACUAAGGAGCAAGCCACGGCUAACUACGUGCCAGCAGCCGCGGUAAUACGCAGGUGGCAAGCGUUGCCCGGAAUUACUGGGUGUAAAGGGAGCGUAGGCGGGAAGCCAAGUCAGCUGGGAAAACUACGGGGUUAACCUGUAGACUGCCGUUGAAACUGGUCUUCUUGAGUGAGCGAGAAGUAUGCGGAAUGCGUGGUGUAGCGGUGAAAUGCAUAGAUAUCACGCAGAACUCCGAUUGCGAAGGCAGCAUACCGGCGCUCAACUGACGCUGAGGCACGAAAGCGUGGGGAUCGAACAGGAUUAGAUACCCCUGUAGUC
rnacentral:rRNA from 1 species